rnacentral:rRNA from 1 species
UCCAAAACUGGCAUACUGGAGACAGAUAGAGGUAAGUGGAAUUCUGCAUGUAGGAGUUAUAUCCGUAGAUAUGCAGAGGAACACCAAAAGCGAAAGCAGCUUACUGGAUCUGUUCUGACACUCAAGGACGAAAGCGUGGGUAGCAAACGGGAUUAGAUACCCCGGUAGUCCACGCCCUAAACUAUGAACACUAGGUGUUGGAGGAUUCGACCCCUUCAGUGCCGACGCAAACGCAUUAAGUGUUCCGCCUGGGUAGUACGGUCGCAAGACUAAAACUCAAAGGAAUAGACGGGGACCCACACAAGCGGUGGAGCAUCUGGUUUAAUUCGACAAUAAGCGAGGAACCUUACCAAGACUUGACAUCCCGGGAAGAUCGCCGAAAGGUGAUUGUGCCGUUAGGAACCCGGUGACAGGUGCUGCAUGGUUGUCGUCAGCUCGUGCCUUGAGGUGUUCGGUUAAGUCCGUGAACGAGCGCAACCCUUGUCCUAAGUUGCAUAUUUCUUAGGAGACUGCCGGCUCUAAGUCGGAGGAAGGUAAGGAUGACGUCAAAUCAGCAUGGCCCUUAUGUCUUGGGCGACACAGGUGCUACAAUGGCCGAUACAAUGGGCAGCCAAGGGGUAACCUGGAGCAAAUCCCAAAAAUCGGUCCAAGUUCGGAUUGAGGGCUGCAACUCGCCCUCAUGAAGUUGGAAUCGCUAGUAACCGCGUAUCAGCCAUGGCGCGGUGA